GAUGAACGCUGACAGAAUGCUUAACACAUGCAAGUCGAUGGGGAAGUGGUGCUUGCCCCAUGGCAACCAUGGCGGACGGGUGAGUAACGCGUAAGGGACUUACCUGCAGGACUGGGAUAACAGGGGGAAACUCCUGACAAGACCGGAUAAUGUCAUGGAGCUGCAUGGCUUUAUGAUGAAAGGAGACGCCUGCGGAGAGCCUUGCGUCCUAUUAGCUAGUUGGUGAGGUAAUGGCUCACCAAGGCGAAGAUAGGUAGCCGGCCUGAGAGGGUGGACGGCCACAAGGGGACUGAGAUACGGCCCUUACUCCUACGGGAGGCAGCAGUGGGGAAUAUUGGACAAUGGGGGCAACCCUGAUCCAGCAAUUCUGUGUGCACGAAGAAGGUUUUCGGAUUGUAAAGUGCUUUCAGCAGGGAAGAAGUAAGUGACGGGACCUGCAGAAGAAGCGACGGCUAAAUACG
rnacentral:rRNA from 1 species